ACUGUUUUGGCAGAUAAGUGCAAUGGAUUUAGAAUCUAAUUAUGUAGAUUGAUAUCUAUAAAUAGUA
rnacentral:tRNA from 1 species